UGCGUAGGCGGGCUUGUGCGUCAGAGGUUAAAUCCCACGGCUUAACCGUGGAUCUGCCUUUGAUACGGCAAGUCUUGAGUGUGAGAGAGGAUGGUAGAAUUCCUGGUGUAGCGGUGAAAUGCGUAGAUAUCAGGAGGAAUACCAGUGGCGAAGGCGGCCAUCUGGCUCACUACUGACGCUGAGGCACGAAAGCGUGGGGAGCGAACAGGAUUAGAUACCCUGGUAGUCC
rnacentral:rRNA from 1 species